rnacentral:tRNA from 11 species
GGGUCGAUGGCGUAGUUGGUUAUCGCAUCUGUCUAACACACAGAAGGUCCUCAGUUCGAGCCUGGGUCGACUCA